UAAUUUUAGUUUUUAAAUACAAGUACAAAUAUUGAAAAAAGAUGAAGUUAUUUUGAAAAUAGAAUCAUGACAGCAAAUGGAAAUUUUAGAAACUAGACUAAGAAAAGUUUAUUCUGGAUCUGCAAUGGAGCAAAUGUUGUUAGUUAUCUUGGUGUCAUUGGCCAACAUUAAGGAUAUGACGAGGAAAGUAUUAACAGCUUUGAUAACUAAUGUUUUAGCUAGUGAAUUAAACUUCAUGAGAAAUGGGAAAAAAAAUUUCAAUCCUUACGAUAAGAAAAAAUAUCAAUGAGGAAGAAAGAUAUAUUCUGAUUAAGAACAAUGCUUCAUUAAACAAUGAAGAUGCAUAAAGAUGACAAAUCUCCCGCAAUGCAGAAACAUCUCUAGUUAUAACUAGUAACAUUAAAUCAACUGAAUAAUUAGCGAACCGUAUACCGACAUGCUUCGA